CCGACUAGUUCCGGGUUCGACU
rnacentral:tRNA from 1 species